rnacentral:rRNA from 1 species
CCUACGGGAGGCAGCAGUGAGGAAUAUUGGUCAAUGGACGAGAGUCUGAACCAGCCAAGUCGCGUGCAGGAAGAAUGUCCUAUGGAUUGUAAACUGCUUUUGCAGGGGAAUAAAAUGCGGCACGUGUGCUGUUUUGUAUGUACUCUGCGAAUAAGGAUCGGCUAACUCCGUGCCAGCAGCCGCGGUAAUACGGAGGAUCCGAGCGUUAUCCGGAUUUAUUGGGUUUAAAGGGUGCGUAGGCGGGAUAAUAAGUCAGUGGUGAAAGUUUGCAGCUUAACUGUAAAAUUGCCAUUGAAACUGUUAUUCUUGAGUGUAGAUAAGGUAGGCGGAAUGUGUUGUGUAGCGGUGAAAUGCAUAGAUAUAACACAGAACCCCGAUUGCGAAGGCAGCUUACCGGGCUACCACUGACGCUGAUGCACGAAAGCGUGGGGAUCAAACAG